AGCCAUAUAUCCAUGUUGCGGCAAAGCGGGCAACACUGGAUGCAACAACUUCAUUCACUCGCUUGCUAAAAAUGGCCGCCUGCUCGAUAGACGCGCGUACAUUUUAUUACAUUAAAAAUUCAUGUCGAAUACGAAAAUUGUAACCGUAACCCUGAAUACAAACCUUUUAUUUAUCAAGUGGAGUCAGAUUUUCAUUUAUUAACAUCCAUAAUCAAACAUUGGUGACACUCGACGUGAUAGCAUCAAAACGACGCAUAUUGGAUACCAUCAUAACGAGAUUUACACAAGGAGAAAUUGGAUCAAUUGGACAUUGGAGAGCCUUCCACUACGAGCUUGAAGCCAGCCGGUCAGCCUACAGCCUACGAGCAGCGCCGCAGCCAGUGCUUAGCCAGGAAAGUGCUUCAUCCAUCUAUACCUAUUCCAGAUUAUCCCAUUUUCAAACCUAAUUUGUCUAAGGAAAGUUGCCAAUUUCUUCAUUUGCUAAUUCAUUUCGUUUUUAUUUAAUUUUCAACGUGUCUUUACCGACUAGCGAGCCAAACUAAAGCUAAAUUCUGUACUUAAGUUGCAAGUCAUUCAAAGUUGACAAUUCAUUAUUUCAUUUCGCACUUCAAUUCAAUUUCAUAUUAAAUCAUUCAAAUCUUACUUCUUAAAUACCUAAAAUCUGCUUAUUUCAUUUAUUUGUAUAGAUUUGCAGACAUCAAAGGGUUAAAACAUCUUAAAUAUUUCAAUAUACAAGCGCGAACGCUGUCAUUCUUGUUAUCCACCAUUGCUAAUUGUUGUGUGUGAAGAUAGGUAUUAUAACAAGCUAACUCGUAAUAUUAUAAACACGCUAACUCGUUUUCUGUGCAUUCCAGUUCCGCUAUCAAUCGUGGGCCGCUCGAUGUCUUUGUUUAAGUCGCCUGCGCAGCUGAUACGCUAACCUUGACCUCAUUAACGGAGUGUUGGUGCAUUUGCCGGCUGGACUGCAUAAGUUACGUAUUGCAUUCAUAUUUUGAUUCCUUCUUUUCAAUUUUAAAGUCAAUUUAAGUGUAAUAACUUAAUAAUGUCUCAUGCUAGUGAACUUGCGAGUAAAUUACAAGUGGAAAGUGCUAAACUUCCAACACCUAGUGUGUCUAUGUCAAAUUAUAGCAUAAAAGAUUUGUGUACAAAACGAAGCUCGAUAAAAGCUGUUCCUGGCGUUUCUGCUGCUACGUGUGUCUUCUGUGGUGGUAGUCAUCGCAUCUACGACUGCUCCACAUUCCUGGCCAAGUCUGUGGAGGAUAGACAAAAGGAAGCAGCACGGUUAAAGCUAUGCAUAAACUGUUUGCGUAAGGGACAUUCUUCUCGUCAAUGCAGGUUGGGUCCUUGCAGUAUUUGUAAGAAAUAUCAUAAUAGUUUGCUACAUAGACAAAAUAAUUCUCAAGCCGUUAAUACAGCAAAUGUACAAUCUUCUGAGACUGAAGUUGAGUGUCAGCAGGAUUCGAAUGUCGAUACCAAUACUGUAGUGAACAAUAUGUCACUACUUACAGACAAUUGUAUUUUAUUAUCCACGGUUUUGGUGGAUAUUCAUAAUCCAGUUUCUCAAACACAUUGUACUGUUCGUGCACUGCUAGAUAGCGGUAGUCAAUGUUCGCUUAUUACAGAUAGUUUAAAGAACAAAUUGCAGUUGACUACUCAGCCAACCAGUGUCGAUCUAGUCGGUGUAGGUAAUAAGCCACUCUCCAAUGCAGUGCAAAGAUGCACCAUUCAUAUUAAAUCAAAACAUAGCCAUUUUAAUACAAACAUAACUUGUCUUGUACUUCCGCAUAUCUCCGGAAGCAUACCUAACAAGUCUAUAGAUAUUUCAAAUAUAACAUUACCAUCUAACAUUAAACUUGCUGAUCCUACAUUUAAUAUAUCUGCAACUGUAGAUUUGUUGAUAGGAGCUGACAUUUUUUGGUCUAUAAUUGAGUCUAAUCAAAUUAGUCUCGGCCCUAACCAGCCUGUUCUGAGGAAAACUAAAUUAGGUUGGAUAUUAGCAGGCCCAUUGUUAACAAAAAAUCAAGUUAGCUCACAAUCCAUUCAUUGCAAUCAUGUAAAUGUUACUUGCAACAAUAGUAACUGUAUUUCAAACGAAAACCUUAAUGAAAGAUUAACCGAUUUUUGGAAAUUAGAACAAAUUCCGUCCUCUGUUAUUGUAAAUACAGAAGAGGAAAUACAAUGUGAGAAAGAUUUUGUUGAAAAUACUUUUCGUAGCCAAGAUGGAAGGUUUAAUGUUAAACUUCCUCUUCUCUCGCAACCCGACUGCCUAGGCGAAUCAUAUAGAAAGGCCAAAAGACAAUUUUUAUCAUUAGAAAAAAGAUUAAAUAAAAAUCCUACUUUAAAGGAAAUGUAUUCCGAUUUCAUAAAAGAAUAUUCUGACCUAGGACAUUUGUCACCAUCUGCCAUUUUAGUUCCCGAGCUGUCAUAUUUUAUUCCACAUCAUGCAGUUUUAAAGCCUACAAGUGAAUCAACGAAACUACGAGUUGUAUUUAAUGGUAGUGCAAAAACUAGUUCCGGGUUUUCAAUUAAUGACAUUCAAAUGACCGGCCCACACAUUCAAGAUUCCCUAUUUAAUAUUUUAGUAAGAUUUAGGCAACAUACCUUUGUACUGUCCGGAGAUAUCGAGAAAAUGUACCGGCAGGUCAAUGUUCAAGAAUGUCAUCGUGACCUACAAAUGAUACUGUGGCGCGAUCAUGAUACUGAUCCUUUAAAAUCAUUACGACUAAACACAGUUACCUACGGGUUGACAAGUUCUAGUUUUUUGAGCACUCGCUGUUUGUGGCAGUUGGGUGAAGAUUGUAAUGACCCAAGAAUUAAAACCGUAAUUCAAAAGGAUUUUCUAGUCGACGAUUUACUGACCGGUUGUGACAAUAUAGGUGACUUACUUUACAUAAAAGAAUCUGUAGAAAAUGCUUUAUCUAAAGGUUGUAUGAAUUUACGCAAAUAUCGUAGCAAUACAUCAAAAAUAUUACCUGAUGAUAACGGUAGUCAAGAUAAACUAAUUUUAAGUUCAUCGUCACACAUACUGGGUGUAGGCUGGGAUCCGAAUGAUGAUUUUAUCCAUUUUCCUAAUAGUUACGAAAACAAUAAAGACAAACCUACUAAACGUUCUAUUUUAUCAGACACUUGCAAAGUCUUUGACCCUCUUGGGUUGUUGAGUCCUCUUACAAUUAAGCCAAAAAUCCUAGUACAAAAAUUAUGGAUACAAAAAAUAGAUUGGGACACACCAGCACCCUAUGACAUUUGCCAGUCAUGGUAUUCGUUUAUCGAGAACAUGAAACAUCUAUACACACUACGUAUACCUAGGCAUACUUUAUGUAUAUCCCCUGUUCAAAUUGAAAUGCAUUGUUUUUGCGACGCUUCACAAAGUGCAUACGCAGCGUGUAUUUAUUUAAGAUCUGUGGAUAGGCAGGAUAAUGUCAUAGUCAGGCUGCAGUGUGCAAAAGCCCGAUUAGCUUCUGUCAAGCCGACAACUAUUCCUCGUUUAGAGUUGUGUGCAUGUUUGUUAGGCGCCCAACUCGCGAGCGCCGUAUGUCGUGCGCUGCGAUGUGUGAUACACCGGAAAGUGUUUUGGACUGACUCAUCGAUCGCGCUCACGUGGUUAGCUUCACGGUACGACAAGCUAGAAACAUUUGUGGCUAAUAGGGUAGGGGCAAUAUUAGACCUCACUGAAUUGUCUGACUGGAGACACGUACCCACCGCAUCGAAUCCUGCUGAUGUAGCUUCUCGCGGUGUGGACGCUGAUAAAAUUAAUAAUUUAAGUUUGUGGUGGAAUGGACCAACCUUUCUUACCCAACCAGAACCGUUUUGGCCUUCACGCAAUUUUAAACAAUGUAAUGAUGAAAGUAAUGUGUCUGAAAUGAAAGUGAAUAUGAUUAAUAAAUAUAAUCCAAUUAAUCAACAGCUCAUAGAUUUUAAUCGUUAUUCCAAAUUAAAAUUUCUACAACGUUCAUUUGCUUACUUGCUUAGAUUUAUUCAUAAUUGUCGUAAUCCACAAAAUAGAAAAUCUGGUAUUUUACAACCAGAGGAGCUUUCAGCUUCUUUUGAGAAAUUGGUGCGCUUAGCUCAACAAGAACUUUUUCCAAAUGAAAUAGCAAUUUUAUCUAGCAAAGAAAGCUUACCUUCUAAGAAUCCAUUAUUAAGCCUAAAUCCCUUUAUUGACGAGAAUAAUGUCUUAAGGGUAGGUGGACGUUUAGAAUCCUCCUGCUACAGUUUUGAAAAGCGCCACCCCAUGUUAUUACAUAAAAAACAUAGACUUACCAAGUUGUUGUUCGAGCAGGAACACUUGCGACUUCUGCAUGCUGGUCCGCAGCUGCUUCUUUCUUCUAUAAGAGAACUGGUUUGGCCUUUAGCCGGCAGAGAUCUUGCUCGUACCACUGCAAGGCAUUGCGUAGUUUGCAGAAGGGCCAGCGGGAAAACGUUGACACCUAUGAUGGGUGCGCUGCCACCCCAACGAGUAAAUCCUGAUUUUCCUUUCAUUACUGUUGGUGUCGACUUUGCUGGGCCAUUCUUUAUAACCGAUCGUAAAGGUAGAGGUUGUAAGAUAACAAAAUGUUACCUCUGUAUUUUUGUUUGCCUCAGAUUUAAAUGUAUACAUUUAGAAGCCGUAAGUGAAUUGUCCACAGAUGCUUUCAUAUUAUCCCUACGCCGUUUUAUCUCCCGCAGGGGAAAGCCAGCUGAGAUUUUCUGCGAUAAUGGUAGGAACUUUCUAGGAGCCUCUAAAGAAAUAGGUAAUUUUUUAAUUUCACAUACUCAUAAUAUCAAUAAUUUUCUUUCUGAAGAAGGAAUUAAAUUCAAUUUUCAGCCGGCUUAUGCGCCUCAUUUCGGAGGGUUAUGGGAGGCUGGCGUUAAAUCUGCCAAAUUUCAUAUAAAAAGAAUUUUAGGGAAUACACAUCUAACAUUUGAGGAGUUGGCAACUCUAUUCAGCCAAAUUGAAUCCAUCCUGAACAGCAGACCUUUGUAUCCCUUAUCUUCCAGUCCCAAUGAUUUCCAACCUUUAACCCCGGGUCACUUUCUGAUUGGCAGACCAUUGGCGUCGCUGCCGUCACCUAAUUUAUUAAAUGAAAAGGUUCACAGACUUAAUCGCUAUCAGAGACUGGAAAUGCUGCGUCAACACUUCUGGAACCGCUGGAAACUUGAGUACAUAGCAGAGCUCCAACAGCGUAUUAAAUGGCGAGUUCCAGAUAGACAGCUGCAAGUUGGAGAAUUAGUUUUGAUGAAGGAGGAGAAUACCCCACCUAUGCAAUGGAAGCUAGGACGAAUAACUGCCCUGUAUCCUGGCAAAGAUCGCGUGGCUCGUGUCGCAGAAGUUAAAACCUCUACGAGUACUUAUCGACGCGCCAUCAAAUAUCUCUGCCCUUUGCUGGAGCCUUCGGAAGACACCAUUGAAGACUAAUACUUCCCGGGCCCCCCAAUAUGUUGCGGCAAAGCGGGCAACACUGGAUGCAACAACUUCAUUCACUCGCUUGCUAAAAAUGGCCGCCUGCUCGAUAGACGCGCGUACAUUUUAUUACAUUAAAAAUUCAUGUCGAAUACGAAAAUUGUAACCGUAACCCUGAAUACAAACCUUUUAUUUAUCAAGUGGA